rnacentral:rRNA from 1 species
CAGCCGCCGCGGUAAUACGUAGGGUCCGAGCGUUGUCCGGAAUUAUUGGGCGUAAAGGGCUCGUAGGCGGUUUGUUGCGUCGGGAGUGAAAACCCAGGGCUUAACUUUGGGCUUGCUUUCGAUACGGGCAGACUUGAGGCAUUGAGGGGAGAACGGAAUUCCUGGUGUAGCGGUGAAAUGCGCAGAUAUCAGGAGGAACACCGGUGGCGAAGGCGGUUCUCUGGCAAUGUUCUGACGCUGAGGAGCGAAAGUGUGGGGAGCGAACAGGAUUAGAUACCCCCGUAGUCCCUGUCUCUUAACA